rnacentral:rRNA from 1 species
GGGGAUAACACUUCUAAUGAGGUGCUAAUACCGAAUAACAAGGUGCGAUUAUGUCGCAUUUUCAAAGAUGGCCUCUACUUGUAAGCUGUUGCUUGAAGAUGAGCCCGCGUCGUAUUAGCUAGUUGGUGAGGUGAUGGCCCACCAAGGCGAUGAUGCGUAGCCGGCCUGAGAGGGUGAACGGCCACACUGGCACUGAGACAAGGGCCAGUCCCCUAUGGGGGCCAGCAGUCUAGAAAUUUGCACAAUUGAUGAAAGUUGGAUGCAGUGACGCCACGUGGAGGAUGAAGUCCCUUGGGGUGUAAACUCCUGUCAGGAGGGAAGAAGGUGCAGAUAUUAAUACCAUCUGUUACUUGACGGUACCUCCAGAGGAAGCUCCGGUUAAUUACGUGUUAGUAGUUGUGGUAAUACGUAGGGAGCGAGCGUUGUUCGGAUUUACUGGGCGUAAAGAGCACGUAGGCGGGUAUGUAAGUCGGUUGUGAAAUUCUCUGGUUUAACCAGAGAAUAGCAGCCGAAACUGCAUACCUUGAGUCUAGCAGAGGGAAUCGGAAUCCUAGGUGUAGCGGUGAAAUGCGUAGAUAUCUAGGAGAAUAUUAGUGGCGAAGGCGGAUUCCUGGGCUAGUACUGACGCUGAGGUGCGAAAGCGUGGGGAGCGAACAGGAUUAGAUACCCUGGUAGUCCACGCCGUAAAUGAUGGGUACUAGGUGUUGGAGGAUAUUGAUUCCUUCAGUGCCGCAGUUAAUGCAUUAAGUGCCCCGCCUGGGGAGUACGGCCGUAAGGCUGAAACUCAAAGGAAUUAACGGGGACCCGCACAAGCAGUGGAGCAUGUGGCUCAAUUUGAUGCAAUGCGAAGAACCUUACCUGGGUUUGAUAUUUGGGGAACCCUCUAGAAAUAGAGGGGUGUUUUUGGGAACCCCAAGACAGGUGCUGCAUGGCUGUCGUCAGCUCGUGUUGUGAGAUGUUGGGUUAAGUCCCGCAACGAGCGUAACCCCUGUCCUUAGUUGUUAUCAGGUAAUGCUGGGAACUCUAAGGAGACUGCCUGUGAUAAGCAGGAGGAAGGUGGGGAUGACGUCAAGUCAUUAUGGCUCUUACGUCCAGGGCUGCACACGUGCUACAAUGGCUGGUACAGAGGGCUGCGAUACCGCGAGGUGGAGCCAAUCCCAAAAAACCAGUCUCAGUUCGGCUUGAAGUCUGCAACUCGACUUCAU